UACGUAGGGGGCUAGCGUUGUCCGGAUUUAUUGGGCGUAAAGAGCGUGUAGGCGGCCAGGUAGGUCUGCUGUGAAAACUCGAGGCUCAACCUCGGGACGUCGGCGGAAACCAUCUGGCUAGAGUCCGGAAGAGGAGAGUGGAAUUCCUGGUGUAGCGGUGAAAUGCGCAGAUAUCAGGAAGAACACCCGUGGCGAAGGCGGCUCUCUGGGACGGUACUGACGCUGAGACGCGAAAGCGUGGGGAGCGAACAGG
rnacentral:rRNA from 1 species